GGGGAUUUAGCUCAGCGGCAUAAGCCCCUGCCUUGCAAGCAGGCAGUCGAGGGUUCAAUCCCUG
rfam:Cavia porcellus supercont2_7 genomic scaffold, whole genome shotgun sequence.